rnacentral:rRNA from 1 species
AACAAACGCUGGCGGCGUGCCUAAUACAUGCAAGUCGAACGAGGUAGCAAUACCUAGUGGCGCACGGGAGAGUAAUACAUGGAUAAUCUGCCUUAGAGUGGGGGAUAACUUUCCGAAAGGAGAGCUAAUACCGCAUAAGACCACAAGCUCUGCGGAGCAAGGGGUUAAAGGUUUUUCGCUCUAAGAUGAGUCCAUGCUCGAUUAGUUAGUUGGUAGGGUAAUGGCCUACCAAGGCUUCGAUCGAUAGCUGAUCUGAGAGGAUGAUCAGCCUCACUGGAACUGAGACACGGUCCAGACUCCUACGGGAGGCAGCAGUAGGGAAUAUUGCACAAUGGAGGAAACUCUGAUGCAGCGACGCCGCGUGAGCGAUGAAGGCCUUCGGGUUGUAAAGCUCUGUUGUACGGGAAGAACACAAUGACGGUACCGUAUAAGAAAGGACCGGCUAACUUCGUGCCAGCAGCCGCCGUAAUAC